GAUGCAUUUCUAAAACAUAAAAAAAAUCAUAAUUAUUACAAACAUUUGCUGGUAGUUUAUUGUUAGUUACAUUAAUAUAUACUGUUCUCUCUCUUCUGUUCAUACAGGGAUACAGGAAACAGGAAAUGGUUUACAUGAAAACGAAAGUUCAAAAGGAAAAUUGCUGAACCAUUUGAAACAGAAGAACAAGUCCUGACAACCUGCGAAUGACUACAGUUUCUACACUACUCAGAUAUUUCACUACAUCUACUGAAGGAGUUAUCAUGAUUGAAAUUUAGCAGUUUGAGCCACAGUCAUUGAAACAAAAGUCAAACAGCAUCAAAUGAUUUUGCCAUCUUCUAUUAAUCAAUUACUAAUGAAAUACUGUGUGUGUCAAGCCUAAAAACAAAAGUAAUAUUGAAUGUAACAACAAUAAUUACAUGAGCCAGCAUAUUACCACUGCAUUAUCACUUUCUAUAAGACACAUGUUUACAGAAACAGUAUUUUAUUGCUUUUGCACAAUAAAAUAUUUUUGUAAGGAUUACUUA